rnacentral:lncRNA from 1 species
AGCCCACAGGGGAGACGGUCAAGCCAGUAUGGGGGCUAAUGAAUAAAUGCUACACUGUGCCCACUCAGGUGGGUAAGGGCUGGCACUCCUCUUCCCCUGGAGUGGGGCGGCUGUGCUGGCACCCUUGGCAGACACACUAAGGGGGACUGCACCUGGAAAGGAUGGGCCAGUCGGGGCAGGACUACUCAUCACUCAUAGUGUGGGUGUCAGGGUUGUGUCACCCCUCCCACCUCCCUCUGAAGAGACGCAAAGUCAAGAGUAGGAAGAAGCCAACCUCUGAGGUAAGGCUUCCCCUGGAAGGCCCAGGGCUGGGGCUCUCUCCUUUCAGAGCUCAGUUAGACCCAGACACACGGCAGGGAGUCCCAAGGGUAGUGGCAGGCCCCCUCCAGGAAACUCACAAGGUUACCACAGCUCAACUGAAAAGGAAGAACUUCCCAGGACUGUGACACCCCAGUGUGAGAACAGGAGGAUGAGGUGCUCUGAAGGCCUUUCUGCCCAGUCUGCCCUCUUAUUCCUCCUGCAGGUCACCACCCCCAGGAGACCUGGAGGACUGAAUGCUGCUGUCCCCAAGGAGGAGGCUGCCGUCUUAUCCCAGGAGGGAGAGCAGGUGAAGUCCCCAGGGGAGGAAGCACCUAGCCCCAUUCCUGCUGAGCAGGAGGUGGCAGGUACCCCAGACUGGGAGGUAAGGACAGCCUGGGGCUUCAACUGGAACAUCUCCAGCAUGGGUCCGACUGAGCAGCCAUGGAGCACUGCAGAGUGGGAGGCAGCAGGGCAGGGAGGCAGUGCUGGAGGCUGGCUCAACCCCAAGACCAGCAGGCCAAGCUGCCAUCCCAGGGGAGCGAGGACGUCUGUGCAGAGCUGAGAGGCAGCAGCCAUAUGUGAACAGACUGGGCCUCAUCCUGGCCCCACCGACUUUGUGUGGACAGAGCCUGUUUCCCUGUCUGUGCAACACAGAACCUGCCUGAUCUCACUGCUGGAUCCCUCUUCUUCCUGCCAGGAAAAUAAAAAGGUUCAAAAGGAAGUUGCUGCGUAUCCAUCUGAGGCCUCUGAGGACAGCAAAGAGCAAAGGCCCUGGGACCGGGUCUCCGUGCCCAUGACAGAGCUCUGGCUGGACUGGUUCUGAGCCUCUAACACCCCCAAGACUCAGAACCGUGAAGAAAAUCUUUCCAAUAAAUCCAAGAGUUGCUGCUGCUAUAGGCCAGGCUGCCACCUUUCGGGGCCUCCGUCUUCAGACAAACCCAGCCUGGCUUCAUCCACACUCCCUGUCCCCACAGCUGCAGGAACAGCACUUCCUGCCACGGAGCCGUGUGACCACAGUGGAUUGUCUCUGGAGGGGCCCAAGGGGGCCCUGGCCACCCUUCUGAUUGACUCGGUGCCAGGGGACAGACCAACGUCCCUCUCGUGCUGACAGCCGGGCCGCACCCUGGCAUGAGGGCAUUUACAGAAAUGUUGGCGGAACUGCUGCCAGGGAGGCUGUAGGGUCCUCUGGCAAAAGAGGCCUCAGGUGGCUCCUCAGAGUGUCUGGUUCUCUGUCCCAGGCUGUUCCCUAAGAAGGUCUGCCCAGGACUCAGGUAAUCAUAUGCUCAUUAGAAACUCUUGGGCACUGCCUGUGUGCCCAGCCCAGCCCCUUAUGUCGGUGAGGACAGACGUGGAGGACAGCAGUCCCUGCCCUUGGUUGGGGCUCCAGGCCAGCAAGGGCCACAGCCCCAGAAGGCAGAGCAGGAAGACAGGACUCGGGGCAGGUGAAGCAGCCUUCUCGUUGGCAGAAGGGAAACAGAAGCCCAGGGUGGGGAAGGGUGGGCCCGGGGUCACAGGGGGUAAUGGCGGGCCCGGGGUCACACGGGGUAAUGGCAGAGCCAGGACUAGGGUCAGGGUCUCUGGCUCUCAGCUGCCCAUGCCACCUCCUCCUCCUCUGCCCGCCCCAGUGCCUCAUGGGCCCAAGGUUGACUCCCAUCCCUAGGGCAGGCCAGUGGCCCACAGGGCUCAUACAUGGCCCCUGGCCAAGCCUGUGGGCCCUGCCUGACCCCUACUGGGAGGAUGGUACCUAGGGUUGGAGCCAAACAAGUGUUCUCCUCCAGCGCCAGCCUGGCCCCGAGUGCAAACUCGUCACUGGUCAGGGGUCCGGACAGCAGCAUCCCUGAGGGCCCAGAGAGGUGGCCAGUCCUGUGGUGAGGUUGAGAGGGGUCAACGUGCUGGCGGUCCUUGCUUGCUCUCAGCGCCUCCUCGGCCUCAGCAUCUGCUCUGACCACACUUGAGGAGCCCUUCAGCCCAGCGCUGCACUGUAGGAGCCCCUCUCUGGGCUGGUGGAGGCUGGAGCCGGCUCCCUCUGCUUGUGGGGAGGUAUGGAGGGAGAGGCGUGGGCGGGAACCUGGGUUGCUCGCGGGCCAGCACCAGUUCUGGGUGGCCAGGGGCUCAGCGGGCCCUGCACUCACAGCGGCCGGCUGGUGCCUCCGGCCCCAGGCAGUGAGGGGCUUAGCACCUGGGCCAGCAGCUGCAGAGGGGGCGCCGGGUCCCCCAGUACUGCUGGCCGCCGGCACGCACCACACUUGAAUUGUCGCCAGGCCUCAGUUGCCUCCCCGCGGGGCAGGGCUCAGGACCUGCAGCCUGCCAUGCCCAAGCCUCCCUACGGUGGGCUCCCUGCAAGGCCCGAGCCUCCCGGAUGGGUGCCUCCCACUGCUCCACGGCACCUGGUCCCGUCCACUGCCCAAGGGCUGAGGAGUACAGGUGCCCAGUGUGGGACUGGCAGGCAGCUCUGCCUGUGGCCCUGGCAUAGGAUCCACUAGGCGAAGCUGGCUGGGCUCCUGAAUCAGGUGGGGACUUGGAGAACUUUUAUGUCUAGCCAGAGGAUUGUAUAUGCACCAAUCAGCACUCUGUGUGUAGCUCCGGGUUCGUGGAUGCACCAGUUAGCACUCUGUAUCUAGCUAAUCUGGUGGGGACUUGGGGAACCUUUAUUUCUAGCUAAAAGAUUGUAAAUACACCAAUCAGCACUCUGUGUCUAGCUCAAGGUUUGUAAACACACCAAUCAGCACCCUGUGUCUAACUCAAGGUUUGUAAACGCACCAAUCAGUGCUCUCUGUCUACUCUAUCUAGCUAAUCUAGUGGGGACUUGGACAACCUUUAUGUCUAGCUAAGGGAUUGUAAAUACACCAUUCAGCACUCUGUGUCUAGCUCAAGGUUUGUAAAUAUACCAAUCAGCACUCUGUGUCUAGCUCAGGGAUUGUAAAUGCACCAAUCAGCACCCUGUCAAAAUGGACCAAUCAACUCUCUGUAAGUGGACCAAUCCACUGUCUGUAAAAUGGGCCAAUCAGCAGGAUGUGGGUGGAGGGUCAGAUAAGGGAAUAAAAGCAGGCUGCCUGAAGUAGCAGCGGCAACCUGGUUGCCAUCCUUCUUUUGCUGUUUGCAGUAAGUCUUGCUGCUGCUCCCUCAUUGGGUCCACACUGCCUUUAUGAGUUGUAACACUGGAAGGACUGCAGUUUCACUCCUGAGGCCAGUGAGACCAC